GAUGAAGAACGCAGCGAAAUGCGAUAAGUAAUGCGAAUUGCAGAAUCCGUGAGUCAUCGAGUCUUUGAACGCACAUUGCGCCCCCUGGUAUUCCGGGGGGCAUGCCUGUCCGAGCGUCAUUGCUGCCCUCAAGCACGGCUUGUGUGUUGGGCCUCCGUCCUCCUCCCGGGGGACGGGCCCGAAAGGCAGCGGCGGCACCGCGUCCGGUCCUCGAGCGUAUGGGGCUUCGUCACCCGCUCUUGUAGGCCCGGCCGGCGCUUGCCGACACAUCAAUCUUUUUUCCAGGUUGACCUCGGAUCAGGUAGGGAUACCCGCUGAACUUAAGCAUAUCAAUAAGCGGAGGA
rnacentral:misc_RNA from 1 species